rnacentral:rRNA from 1 species
AGUGAACGCUGGCGGUAGGCCUGACACAUGCAAGUCGAACGGCAGCACAGUAAGAGCUUGCUCUUACGGGUGGCGAGUGGCGGACGGGUGAGGAAUACAUCGGAAUCUACUUUUUCGUGGGGGAUAACGUAGGGAAACUUACGCUAAUACCGCAUACGACCUACGGGUGAAAGCAGGGGAUCUUCGGACCUUGCGCGAUUGAAUGAGCCGAUGUCGGAUUAGCUAGUUGGCGGGGUAAAGGCCCACCAAGGCGACGAUCCGUAGCUGGUCUGAGAGGAUGAUCAGCCACACUGGAACUGAGACACGGUCCAGACUCCUACGGGAGGCAGCAGUGGGGAAUAUUGGACAAUGGGCGCAAGCCUGAUCCAGCCAUACCGCGUGAGUGAAGAAGGCCUUCGGGUUGUAAAGCCCUUUUGUUGGGAAAGAAAAGCGGCAGGUUAAUACCCCGCUGUUCUGACGGUACCCAAAGAAUAAGCACCGGCUAACUUCGUG